rnacentral:rRNA from 1 species
UACGUAGGUGGCAAGCGUUGUCCGGAUUUACUGGGCGUAAAGCGCGCGCAGGCGGACUGAUCAGUCUGGGGUGAAAUCUCCCGGCUCAACUGGGAGCGGUCCCUGGAUACUGUCAGUCUUGAGAGACCUAGAGGAGAGCGGAGUUCCCGGUGUAGUGGUGGAAUGCGUAGAUAUCGGGAGGAACACCCGUAGCGAAGGCGGCACUCUGGGCCGGAACUGACGCUGAGGAGCGAAAGCGUGGGGAGCAAACAGG